rnacentral:rRNA from 1 species
GACGAACGCUGGCGGCGUGCUUAACACAUGCAAGUCGAACGGAAAGGCCCUGCUCUUGUGGGGUGCUCGAGUGGCGAACGGGUGAGUAACACGCGAGUAACCUGCCCUUGACUUUGGGAUAACUUCAGGAAACUGCGGCUAAUACCGGAUAGGAGCUCCUGCUGCAUGGUGGUGGUUGGAAAGUUUCGGCGGUUGGGGAUGGACUCGCGGCUUAUCAGCUUGUUGGUGGGGUAGUGGCUUACCAAGGCUUUGACGGGUAGCCGGCCUGAGAGGGUGACCGGCCACAUUGGGACUGAGAGACGCACCAGACUCCUACGGGAGGCAGCAGUCGGGAAUAUUGCACAAUGGGCGGAAGCCUGAUGCAGCAACGCCGCGUGCGGGAUGACGGCCUUCGGGUUGUAAACCGCUUUCGCCUGUGACGAAGCGUGAGUGACGGUAAUGGGUAAAGAAGCACCGGCUAACUACGUG